UUUUUUUUUUUUUUUUUUUUUUUUGCCUUUUUUCGGUCUGUUGCUUUUUUUAUCCUAUUCUCACCAUCCCAUCGCCUCCUUCUCCCUUAUUCCUUAGUACACAUCUACUUCUUGUCUUUAUUAUUAACAAUCUGCCUUCCUCCCAAAACUCCACCUCCCUCCAUGUCUGCCUAUUUGUUCCCGGUGUUUUACAUUGUCGUCUUUCUUUUCUCAACUGUAUCACAAUCAAUGCUUGCUGCCCGACUCUUCUUCCCUCUCUGUCCCUCCCGCUCUCAUUUCUUUGUCUGUUUAAUUCAAUUCGUCGGACUGAAUUUCUGAUUGAUUUAGAAGAUUAAAAAAAAAAAUGGUGACCGUGAAAGCAGGGACUAGACCAUCAUGGGUGGGGCUUGAGGCAGCUGCUUGGUUGCAAAUAGCAUCCGGGAAUGCAUCCACUUUUCCUCUCUACUCCCACUCACUCAAAUCAGUUCUGGGAUUUAACCAGCAUGCUUGGGGUGGCUAAUGAUAUUGGGGAAAACAUGGGUUUGCUUCCAGGCCAUGUUUACAAGAAGUUUCCACCUUUGGUCAUUCUCCCUAUUGGCGCUUUUGCAUGUUUCUUCGGUUUUGGGGUUCUCUGGCUUGCUCUGUCCAGGACUAUUCCUUCGUUUCCUCAUUGACUGGUAACAUUCGUUUCCUGGUUUUUCUUGGGAAAAAAUUGCUCAUCUUAAUUUGAUUGCCUCCUUUUUAUUUGGAUAACUCUUUCCCUGUAAAGAUAUAGUCUUUAUUUUGAAUGGUUGUGGUAUAAUUUUGCUGACAUAUCCAUCAUGUAUGCCUUAUCAUGGACUACCUUCACAGUUUUGAUCUUUGAUGAUAAUGCAGUCGAGAGAGUCUUUCCAUGGUCUUGUAUCUUCAAAGUUUAUUCUGAUUGUCCUGCUUGUACCUAGCAUCUGCAGUAUGGUUUUGUCUACAAACUAAAUUCGCUUUUCUCUUGAAGUUCUUCAUCACACAUGUUCCAAACUUUUAUUUAAUUAAAGCACACUCUACAUUCCUGCUAAACAUGACUGCAUUUCGAUGAAAUUAAGCAUGCACCAAGUACAUUAUAAAUACCCAACAUCUAUUAUUGCUGCUACCUUUUCCCGCAUAAUCAGAGAUUAAUCGUUAACUAAUUUCAUAUCAAUGGCCUGUUAUGGCAUAAAACUCGAGUCCGCUCCCCCUUUAUUCUCAGCGUACACCAACUUUAUACCAUGUAUCACACUUCCAUUGUCCUGUCCAGAAUUGUUGCGUUAAUCCUUCCAAUUUUCAUUUUCAUGCAGACAAUUGAAUAAACGAUAUAGAAACAAUUCAACAAUGUCAAAUUAAUGCUUGUUGUAAAUUUAAAAAUGCCACAAAUAAUCAAUCCUCCACAGAAUAAUAGAAAAUAUUAAUAGUGUUUACUCAUUGUUUAAUACUUUUAAAUCUCCCAUUUACUUCUCCCAACACUCCAUCCCAUUUGUACAUGAAGCAGAAUCAUACUGAUGCACUUCAAUUUUUUUCGCCUCAAUUGUUUUCUUUUCGAUCUUUUUCAUAGCACCACCAUGUUAGAUGCACACCUUUAUUUGCUCACGCUUUCUUAUGAUGCUGCCUAUUUAAAAGUUUAAUCAUUUUAUAACGAAAUAACUUAAAUGCAAUUCAUCCAAAUCAUGAUAUCUCCACCUAUGAAUUUGGGCAUUUUCCGGGCAACAUGAAAUUAACACCGCGCAACGCGCGGUGAUCCCCUCCUAGUACUUAUAUACUUGUGUCCGUCAGCCUGUGUAUCUUAAUUAGGAGCCUAUACACAUUACAAUCCACCUAAAUCAAGUGGACAAUAAAUUUAGGAGAGGGUUGGCUUCGAUGGUAAAAUGGAAAAAAUUGUAAAUAAGAAAUUUUGGAUUUAAAUAAUAAUUUAAAAAAAAAGAACAAUAAAUUCCUCUAUUUAUAGCUAAAUAAUUAAUGCAACCUUAGCACAUUUAAUUUGUUGAAGAUCCAAUUAGUCAUUCUCAGUUUCAUGGUUGAUGUUCCUCAAUGUUCACAUGCAACACCAAUUGUAUAUAUGGUAGAAUUUAAACCAUCAAAUAUCUUCAUUACAAUUUUAUCAUCCGUUUAAAGGACAACAAUUAUUUAAUUACCGAUCUAUUAGUCAAGGAUAGAAUUUAUGAUGGCUUGGAGUUGAGUCUCCAAUGCUGAUUUACUUGAAGAAAGCUGACGUUUUAUAUUAUAGUGCUUGCGCAAAAAUAAAAGGACGGAUAAUUGGAGAAAAAUAAACAAAAAAGCCUUAUACAAGCUAUUGUCAUAUAAUCUGACGCGGCCAGGCUUCGUGACCGGGAAUGUUAGAAAAUUUGUACAAGGAAAGAUAUAUAACAUUACCAUACGUCUGGCUACUUUGUAAUGUAAAGUCGUGGAGCUAAUAAUUUACAUCAUUUCAGUGGCGCCGCUUAAACCAAAAAAAAAAGGGUUCGUGUUUACAUAGAAAGACUGCAAUAUUUUAGUUUCAAUGUUUCACACGAAUGAUAGACAUGCCACUCAUUAUCAGAAAAUCAUAUAGUAACAUGUAAUUAGUUUCUUCCAUACUCCAAACUUCUUGUGGCAAUUUUUUGCUCUUCUUUUUCUCGUGAGUAGUACAGAUAAAGAGUUCAAAUUUGUAACCAAACAUCACCGUUUUACUAUUAUAAUUAUUAUUUUUUUUUUCAAAGUUGUAGGUCAGAUACCUUAAUCGAUAAGAAAUGCAAAAUGGAAUCAAGACGUGCAAGCAGUGGUCGCAAAUGCAUUAGUUGAUCUGGCCGCAGCAAUUUGAUACAUUCUUAAUAUUUGACCAAACAUCUGAUGAAAUGACACAUUCUUAAGGGGAUUCCAAGAGCAGAAAGAUCUGCGACAAUUAAUUGGUUUUAAGUGAAACUAUAAAAGACUAUAGAUUCAAAACUUUUGGAAAUUAUUAUGCACCCAAAAUAAUCAUUUGGAACAUGCAAAAAGCUCAUUUUGUUAAUCAAACUUGACCCAAUUUGAUAUUUGAAGACUACUCAAAUUGUGACUCUAAUUAAGACCAAAAUUUUCUAGAUCUCGCAGAAGGGUUUAUAUAUAUAAGGGAGAUUCAAUCCCAGAGCUGAGUCGUCAAUGGAUUUUCGUGCUCAAAUGCAAGUGUGUGUGUGUGUAUAUAUAUAUAGUACAUGGAUGGAUCAACCAGUUGUUACUUUAUGAUGGUCCGAUUGAGAUCAUGGGAAAAAAAUUCAUAAAGGAGUCUCGAAGAUUGAAUUUCGGGAAUUACAUGCAUACAAGGGUGAAAAGUUCAGCGCUUUUAGACACAUAUAUCAAUUAAGAUGUGAAAAAGUAUACCACUUAAAUAUCAUCCUUUAUUGCAUAAUGGAGAAUCCAUCUGACUGCUAAACACUAAUUAGUUGUUCCGAGAUCGUGAGUGGGGUCAUCUUAAGCCACAACGCCCAACUCCCAACUCCAGGAUAUGGAGAAUGUUAUAUCAUGGGAUAUCAACAUGUCACACUGUCGUGUGUACGUUCUUUAAUUAAUUAUGCAAUAGAUUAAACAAAAAAAAAAAGCUAGUCCUCUCUUAUAUGUCUAAUCGCUUUUAUUAUUAUUAUUAUUUUUUUUCCUCUCUUUCCGGACACUGUUACAUAAUCUCUCAAGAAGCACAAAGACGUGACUGUUGUUGACGUUGGUGAAUCCUUGUUCAGCCGAAGAAACGGUUUCCAACCCAGAUGUCCAUCAUCUUGCUGGAUUACACCCCAAAUCCUUGCACCUCGCAGUUCAGUAACAACUGGUUGGCACUUGGAACUCACAUUCACUGAACUAAAACUAUAACCAGAAACCCUAAAUCCUCUCAAUUCCAUAAAUGGCUGCAUUCGUCCUCGUCUUCAAACCAACUUUUACGCCCCAAAUCUGUCCCAUAUUACAUCCGACAAACAUUCAUCACAACUCUUCCAAUAAACCUGAGAUACUCUACAAAUUGAUAAUGUCAAGCUCGAGCAGCGGCACUAGCAGUGGUAACAGUGGCAGCAGCACUUCACAGGCUCCUCUGCCUGGGAGACGCCCGAUGUACCGUGGGGUGAGGCGUAGAAAGAGCAGUGGGAAGUGGGUAUCGGAGAUUCGGGAGCCAAGAACACCUAAUAGAAUUUGGCUUGGUACGUUUCCUACCCCUGAAAUGGCGGCGGCGGCCUAUGAUGUGGCUGCACUUGCUCUCAAGGGUCCCGAGGCUGAGCUCAACUUUCCUAAUUCAGCUUCUUCGUUGCCUGCCCCUGCCUCUGCUUCUCCACGAGACAUUCAGGCUGCUGCAGCUAGUGCGGCCGCGGCUGCUGGUGCAGCAAUGGACGCUCUAGCUGGUAAUGCUGCUGCCCUCCAUGCAAUGAACCACACUCUAGCCGAUAAAACUGAAAACCUCAUUAGUCCAACACCACCUGAUCAUCAAAAGGAUCAUGAGUUUAUUGAUGAGGACUUAAUCUUUGAUAUGCCAAAUGUUCUAACCAACAUGGCCGAAGGAAUGCUUCUAAGCCCGCCACGCCUUGACAUUGCUGGUGAUGAAACUUCCACUGAAAGCAUGGGUGCCCACGAUCUCUGGAAUCAUCCCUAAUCCCGCCACCGUUCCUAUUGGUCAUUGAACUAUUCUCUUAAUCAGUAUUCACCAGUUAUAAGAAGUUAACUAAUCGUGCAUAACAGGAUGUUGAUAGGACCAAUAGGAAUUUCGUUCCAGUUCACGACCGAGUGCCUUGCAUUUCUUUUUCAGUACUUACGUGUAAAGGACUAUAUAUGGUUUAGAGUGCUGCUGCUUUUUAUCUUCUCCAUUUUCCUGGAAAUGGUGCUUAUAAUCCUCCUUGAUGAAGGUAAUCAUCCAGCAAAAUGUGAUUGCCUAUCCCAAUCCUCAACACCAAUGUAUUAAUUUUUAAGAAAAGCAACUUAACGGAUUGUCGCUUUGACUUCGUCCGCCUGGAAAUAGACUUGUCCAUAUUGGCCAUUGUGAUGCCAUGGAGGAAAGGAUUAUCAUAAGCCAGCAACCAUAAUCCAGAUUUCUCGAUCAUGUACAUGCAUGAAAUAAGAAUCUCAAUGUAUUUUUCAGUGGAAAUCCCACUCACCUUCUUUCUUCGUGAGUGUAAUCAAGAUAAGCUCAAUCAUGAUUUCCAAGUUGCAAAAAGGGACAGAAAAUCAAUGGGCUUAUGCUUAUAGAACCGGAAGAACACAGACAUCUGCCUUACUUUUACCGUUGCCGUCAUGUGGAAGACUGGAGAGGUUGGAGAUAGCUAGUUAGAGAAGGACCAUUUGCAAAGAUGAGCAGGAAAAGAAUAGCAGUUUAAUUAAGUUUUGGAAGGAACAGGAUGAACUCAGAAAGUGAAGAAACUAAUUAAUAAAACGGCUGAAGUACAACAUAACAAUCUCAUCUUUAUUGGGUGGUUUAGAACAUAAAAUAUGAGGUUUCAAAUCAGAAGAUAAUUGUUUGGUUGAGAACAGCAAUCAAGUUUGGAAGUUUUGUCAAUCGGAAUCAUUACAAAGUUGAUUUUUAGGGUUUCCUCCAACCAACCGAAUGACGCUGCAGUGCUUCGAACCCUUUAUUAAUUCUAUUAUUUGAAACAGGGGAAAGAAUGGCAUUUUUAAUACGUAGAUACUACUGUUUACGCUCCUUUUUUUUAAUAAAAAAAUAAAUAAAAGAUUAUGAAUCCAAACUCCUUACUUACAAUUUAUCUUACUUUACCGCUCUGUCCUCCCACUGCCUUGUUUAAUUAGCUAGUACUUCUUCCGUCCCACUUUGAUAGUUCUGAUUCUUUUUUCACAUAGUUUAAGAAAAAGUAGUUAACUUUGUUGGAAUAAUCAAUUUAGAUAGAUAUUUUUCUAAAAUACUCUCACAUUAAUUAGAGUACAACUUUAUAGAAACUUGAAUUGAUGGUAAAAAAAGAAUAAACUCUCAUUAAAUGGAGUAGGUUUAUAGUAAUAACAACUUACAUUGAAUAAAGGUAUUUUAGAAAAAUUAAAAUACAACUACAUUCUUCAAUUGGAAUGUGGAUUACAAUUUGGACAGAUAAAAAAGGAAAAGAUGACUAUCAAAGUGGGUCGGAGGGAGUAUUACAACACAAGCAUGGCCCUAUCCUACAGUUGGUUGACGUGUCAUUCUCUGCUGACUUGGCAAAGCUAAGUGCCAUCAAGAUGCUGACACUUGGCCUGCCUUUUGUUAAAGUUCCCCAUUCCAAGCCCGACCUAUGUUCCUCCUAUACCCCUACGGUGGGUGCAAGACCGCUAGCAAGCUAUGGACAUAGGGCCAUGCAGCAUGAGAAAACGGAACAAUCCUCGCUAACCUCUCUAAAUGGUGGUCUUACAUUCUUAUUCCUACCAAUUCAAACCAUUCAUUUUACUUUUACCCUAUUUAUCACACACACACAAGGUCCCUAUUGUAAUUUGAAGCAGCCCAUCUGUUUAGUUUAAUUGCUCAUCAGUCAUAACAAAACAAUUUAAGCUGCAGUUUCUUUAUAUAUAUAUAUAUUUUUUUUUUUUUCUGACGAAGUGAGUAUUCGGACCUUUGGCUCGACUAAUCCCACUCCGGUCCGGGAGAGGAGACCCCACGCCACUCCAAGCACGGUCGCAAGGGAGCUCGAAUUCUGGUUGUCCAGGUAAAUUUACCAUACCCUAAAGAGGGGAAGCUGAUUGCUCGAACUAGUCUUGGGGGCCGGUUUCUUUAUACUCAUACAGUUGAAUGAGUGUUAGUUAUUAGGUGAAUUCUGUCCAUGUUGGCUGUGAUGAAGAGCUAGUCAUACUCCAGUUGCACUUAUACGUCCUAAACGGCUCCGGGUGACUAAUGCAUUAUUCGCCUAGACCAACCGUAUCUUCUUAUGGUAUAUAAACUGGAUUAAUUGCGUGAAAGGAAAUCCAGAUCAAUUAGUUUGGGAAUUAUGUGCUAAGACAUUAAUUCUUGCAUGUAGUAGGGCACGGAAGAAUGUGUAAUUAAGCAACUGAGAGAGAGAAGCCGCUUUAACAAAUUAAUAGCGGUAUAUCCGCUAUUGUUAUAUAUAGUCCACGAAAUUGAUUUGAGACGAUUGGUAAUAUAAAAUUUAUAUAUGUUGGCUUUGUAGAGAAUUAGUGACAAGAGCCAAGACCUAGGCUCACUGUGGGGGCAAGAUUGUACAUUUAAAAUAAUAUUUUUUUUGAAUUUUUAUUCUACUUCCUAUAAUUUUUCCUGUUCAAGUAGUAAUUAAAUAUAUCUUAAUUAAUAGCUUCGAAACAAUUGGACCAUAGAAGAGAUGCUUAAAAGAAAAAGAAAUCGGUUGUUUAGAGAUGAUUAUUUUUUAAAUUACAGGGGAAGUAAUAUUGAGAGGUAAGGGUAUUUUUUAAAAUUGAGGAGAAAAAUCUAAAAUUUUAUAAAAAUUUUCAAGCCAAUUUUGUGAUUUCUACAAAGUUGGGGGAUUUGGCUAUCCUCACAUCAAGGUGGCUCCGCCGCUGUAGAGCGCACUCUUAAUUUUCAUCCUCGUGAUUUCACAAAAGCAUAAACGUUUGAACAGCAGUGUCAACGUAAAAGGAAUUUUACUCAAGUGCCUUACCAUAAAAUGGCAUGUCAUUACUAAGUUUUGAAACCUAUUGUACCCUUUGACUUCUGCAUAUAUAAAUGAUUUUUUUUUUAAAAAAAAAAAAACAAAGCCUUCAUGAAGUGAUUAACAAGGUAAUUGGAACCAUAACUAUAGUUAUCCUUACACCGGGAAUAAUAUGUACAACCAAUUAUUACUAUUAGGCUAGAAGAAUUUUCCCUUUUUUCUUAAAGAGGAUCCACACUGAGACUCACCUACACCUUAUGAUAAAUGUUCCUGGCAUAAUACUAUAUUUUAACAACGAUACGUUAGUAGUUUAACAGGUAAUCUCUUGCCUGGGGACAUCCGGUCCAUUGAAGCUGUUGAUAUGUAGGUGUGGAAAAAGGCUCUGCAUCAUUUAAGAAAAAUGAUAUCAAAAAAAUUGAAACUAUAAUCGAAAGGCUACGACAGCUACAGGUUGGGAAGACUCACAAACGACAUGUCACACAUUGUGACUCGAUUGCACAGAGGACAAAAAAAUUUGAGCUUUAGACCUAACAAAAGCUAAAACCAAAAAAAAAAAGAAAAGAAAAGAAAAAGAUUUACCCUCUGCAUCCUUAAGAAACUUCAUAAAAAAUCAAUUCACAAGAAUGGCUGCCGAAUUUGACGAAUCCGCUGCACGUUGUUAGGGUUGGAGAAAUCAUGGAAAAGGGGGUUUAGUGCAGCGUACGCCCGGAGGGACCGCUCUGGUAGAAACCAGAAAAAUACGCCCAUUAAAUUUUGUAAAUAGUCAGGUAUGUGAUAAUUAAGGAUAAGAGCGAUGACUUAAGCUCCCGCGUCAGCCUAGUUAUCAACUUUCCUGCUAGUGCUAAUUAUUUUUGUAUUCCAAUCCAUGCUAUCCUUAUUCAGGCAAGUUGAUGGUACGGGCUACCAAAUUGGUCUUAGUCAGUGCCGCCUUUAGCACUCAAAUCUGAACAGCGUGCACGCGAAUAAAUGUUGGUCUCUUCCGGUGCUAAUACAAGUUGACUCAAUUGAUAAUAACAGAUCAAUUCGUUACGAAAAAUUACGUGUUUAAAAUCUGUUAUCGAUCAAUUCGUCACGAAAGAUUGCGUGUUUGAAAUCCAUUAUCGACAUGAGAAUUGUGUUAAGGAACCAUUUGCAAGCACCUCACGUUUAAACGAUGUGGUAAUCAGAGCCGAAUUCAUUCAAUUUUUUUUCUCUUAACCUAAAAAAAUAAAGGGUUAAAUACCAAAAAUUCCCCUGUGGUCUGCCUAAUAUUCACUUUACCUCCUUAUGGUUUAAAAACCUACAAUUUGACUCCCUGUCGUUUCAACUAAAGUGUAUUUAACGGAAUUUCUGUUAGAUUUUCACUUUAGGUGAAACGACAGGGAGUUAAAUUGUAUAUUUUCAAACCAUAUGGAGGUAAAGUGUACAUUUGACAAACCACAGGAGGGUUUUUGGUACUUAACGCAAAAUUCUUAUAGAGGGGCAAUUUUGACAUUUUUCUUUCAGACGUUAGUUUAGAUGUUUUUCGUUAGACUUUUACUUUAGUUGAAACGACAGGGAGUCAAAUUGUAGGUUUUCAAAUCAUAGAGAAGUAAAGUGAACAUUAGACAAAUCACACGAGAGUUUUUGGUAUUUAACCCAAAAAUAAAUUGGUCUUAGUCAGUGCCGCCUUUAGCACCCAAUCAAUCUGAACAGAGUAGACACAGAAAGACAGCUGGAACAAUGACAUAGGACAAGUGGAUCCGAUUUGGGUCCUGCUUAACAAAGCCCAGCAAUAGGAUCAAAUAUGCCGAUUGCAGCUCCUCUCUCUCAAGCUAUUGGACUCAUAGUUCAUCAAAUGCAAAUGCGGCUUUUCUCCAAAGAUUAAAAAGUCUUCGAUGUGCACCCUUCACAAUAUGCAGACCGUGGAAUAAAAAUUUUUUAAUAAGUACUGUACGAUUUUAUUUUUAAGAGAUCAAAAAAAAAAAAAAAAAAAAACUGUAAGAACAGACUAGCCGGACAGUGGAUUACACUAUUGCACCGUAGCCCCUACCAUUAAGAUAACGAUUAGACUGGAUGGGGGAGCAGACUCUAACAUUGGCCAAUAAUCUUCAUGGUGGAAACCGGAAAUUUACUUUAAGCAUUAUGUUUUUUACUGCUAAAGAUGAUGGCUAGCUACAAUUUUUUUAUUACUUAUUAUUCUGAGCAUGAUCGCAAGAGUUAGCAGCGACGUAUAAGUAACUUAUGUAUAUCAAUGAGAAAAACAGUGACUAAUGAUGUCUGGUCAGAAUUAUAUUAUAUGAGUAUGCCUCGUAUUGCUUACAGAUUAUGAUUAGCAUCUUUCUUAUCAUCAGCGAAUUAUCUCGUCAUUAUAUAGCAGCAAAGUAAUCCUUUUCCAAAUUAUUGCUUUUCUCAUCUUGUAUGUGAUACUCAAUUUUUGGCACCAGUAGUUAUAAUUUACGAGUUGUUCGAUGGGAAGAUCCCAUGCUCCUCUUCCCCAACUCUUAGGGUGACAGAGAGUCAACAAUAGGAUGCAUUCAUCAGCCACAGUUCUCUAUAAAAUCCUUUGUUUUGUUACACUGAUUUUAGAUGAUUUUUUUUUUGAAAAAUUUUUAAUGUAUUAUACUAUUGAAAAGAUUACAUAUGAAAUAAAAAAAUUUAGUUGAAAAUCAUGCUGUAUAAGAGUUUUACGAAUAGAAAGGCUCUUUUACUUAGACCCAUUUUACAUAAACAUAUUUUCGAAAAACUUCAAACAUAUUUUUUACUCACCUCUUUCAGUAACCAUCUAUACAAGGCAAGAGUUAAGAAAAAAGGUUCCGUAAUCAAUCUUAAAAGUAAAUGACAAAUGGGAUCCUCCGUCCAAUAUUUUAUGUCCACUUCCCUGUCCAAUACAAAACUAUGUAGUUCCAUUUAUUAUAUCUGCUGAUGUGACACAUAAAAAUAAUUGGAUAUAAUAAGUGAAACUACGUAAUUUUGUAUUGGACAGAAAAAUAGACACAAAAUAUUGGACAGAGAAUCUCGUUUGCGUAAAUGAAGCAGUUGAUGCAACUAUCUCGAACAGGCUAGCUGCAAUGAAUAUCCAAUUGAAUUGUAUUAGCCCGUAUAGUUCUGUUUAAAUUGGACCAUCUACCACGUUAUCAUAUAAUGCCUAUUGUAAUUCUGGUCAGCUUGUCACACCAUAUGGCCCAAAAUAGGGGUAAUUUCUCAACAAUGGCGUUGCAAAUUUACAAUCCACAAUCCGUUUUAACUGAGGUAAAUACUAAAGACAGGAGUACCAAACAUGACUGCCAAACGACUGGAUCAAGAAAUCCUAUAAACUUUUGGCAUUCUGGCGCAAGGAACGUUUAACACUUUAGUACAGUUAAAGUGUUAAAGGUGGACCCUGUGGAUGUAGGAGCAGUAAUUUUUCCUUUCUCUAUUUAAAUUUUUUUCUUCCGAUGGGACAAAAGAAUUUCUGGAUUGACUAAUGCUUCGAACCCGCGUAUUAUUUGUCUGCCUGCUUUGAAGUUUGAUCAUCGAAGCUAUCGGUCAAAUACUGAAUAUGGAGAAUCAUAAAACGUACGACGCUCUUCAUUUUAUGAUUUUAUGCCCCGGGGCUACACAACAGCAUAAAAAGUGGAGGGAGUCGUGAUAAAAUAGCAAAGGAAAGAGUUUAUGGAAUGGCUUGUGGCACCUGAACAUUAAAUUUAAUAUUUAUGUUUGGAAGGCAUGCUCAGGAAUACUAGCGACUGGACUGAAUCUUCAUGAUAGGCUGGAAGGGGAAGCUUUGGGGUGCAGGAACUGUGGCUGUAGGGUGGAAUCAGAUAAACACCUGAUUCAUUGAUUGUGAUUUUGCUCUGGAAGUGUGGAGAAGUGUUGACCGGAAUCACAUUGUGAAUAUAUCAUCUUUUUUUUCCAAUUUUAAGGAGUGGUUUGCUUGGAUUUUACAUUUAAGAGGACAGGAAGUAGCAGAACUUGCUGCAGUUAUAACAUGGAUUAUCUGGAGAUCUCGAAAUGAAACAAUCUUUAAGGAAAAGACAGGGAAGCGACACAAGUUGGAGCAUAUGCAGUGGCACAUCUUUCAGGACUACAAGAAAAAGUGAUCAUCCCAAGCGGGUGGCACCUGAGGAAGGCUUCCUGAAGAUUAAUGCUGAUGGCGCUUUCUCAGAACGGGGAGCUAGAACUGAUGCAGUAGUGAGGAUCCAACCGGGGCAAAUAGAUGCGAUCAUGGCCGAAAGGAUUCAUGGUGUUUUCAAUGCAGAACAUUGUUAAGUGUUUGGCUUGCCUUCAAGCUUUGCGUUUUCCCACGGAUUUUGGUAUAUCACAUCUCAUUCUUGAAGGUGAUGCUCUAAGAAUAGUCCAGAGAAUCACGAGCACAGAUUCUGACCGUCUCUAAUUGGGUACUUGUUUAGUAGCAUCCGUUCUUUACUAAAAGAUUUUGAGUCUGUAAAAGUGUCUUAUGCCAAGAAAAACAAUAAUAAUAAUAUCCCAGCUCAUAUCGUGGCUAGAAUGGGUCUUCAUCUCUUGGGGGAAGCAAUGUUUGGUUUGUAAAUUUCCCCAAGGAUAUUGUGCCUGCUGCUGAAUUUAUGAUUUUCAACCCAAAAAAAAAAAAAAAAAAUUCUGCUACAUCCACCACAGGGAAGCAUAGUCUUGGGCCGCUUGAUGGUCGGGGCAAUUGUUAGGACACGCUUACUGGCUUCUGGAUCAGUUUAAGUCCAAUAAAAUUUCCAAAUUCCAGCCCACUCUGAUAAUUAAAAUGAUUCUAGCAGAAAAUGAGGCCUUUAGUAAUGGAGAAAGAUGGCCCAGACGCUUGUUAUGGAGAAAGAUGGUGUUUUAGGGAAACAUUUACAGUGCAGCGCUGUUAUUAAUUUAAUAAACAUAUUUGAGAUGAUGCAAGUUUCCAUAACACGACCAAGAAGAAUCAUGUUAUUCAUAUCUAUCUAAAACAUAUUCACAUUAACAAAAAAAAAUCAUGAUAUUCAUAUAAUUAUCCAUGACAUAAUCACAUUAAACCCAAACAAAAAAAAAAAUGCAAACCAAGAAGAAGACGAAGAAGACAAACUGGAUGCACGUGCUAAAUACUGUAUUUUCAAUAUGAUAGCUCUAUUUGGAUUAGCUGUUUUUGGGAGUGUUUUUGAAAAAUUUUGUUGUACCAGAGUUUUUAGAUUAUAUUUUAGGAUAUUUUCAGAAAAUAUUUUGAAAUAUUUAAGAGUAGAAGAGUUUUUAGAAUAUAUUUUGAGAUAUUUUUUAAAAUUUUUAAAAAAUUUAAACUAAUUUUUAAAUUAACUUUUAGAGUACUUUUUAAAAAUUUUUAUUAUAUUUGAAAAACACUCCCGUCAAAGGUAUAACAUGACAGUUUUUACUUUGAAUCUCUCUAGCCUUUCUUGCCGGAUUUGGGGCAGGGACGGUCAUACUGCACGGUUAAGGGACAAGAUUGGCCCUCAAAAUUUUGUGCGGCUGAGAUUCCACCAUAUAACUCGAUUUCCGUGCCAAGUAUGGGACCCACCACUAUCUGUUGUGAAAAUAUAUCCUGUGAAAAAAAGGUUACACGAUGUACAAAGAAAGUUACGGCCAAUUAAUAAUGACUACAAUUGGCACGGACGGUUGCACCGCCCUGCCCCGAGUCCUUUCUUGCCCCUCGUAUUCAGGAAGCCCCCAUAUUCUGAUUUUGGUAUGAUAGGUCAUCUCAGUCCCCUGGUUCCACUCGCAGAGGUAAAUUUCUCACGUAACUCGGAGAUGGCUUUUACUUUGGAUUAAUGCUUAAGCCUAUCGACGAUGAAGCCUUCCAAAUUAUGCUCCUUUUCCACCUCAGAAAAGAAUUUCAGUAGCAGUCAUCCCCCGCUCCUUGAAGUCAGCUUUCUCCAAACACUCUACAAGAAUUAGAAUUAGCUCAGUCGUUAUACUUUCUAAUACCGCCCUGAGAUUGUUGAGCUCACGAUUGGGUAGUACUAGUAGCCCAGCCGCUUUCAGCGGCCACAGGUUUUUUUGCUGGGUAGCAAAAUUUUCUGGGCUGCUGAAGGAACUCAAUCAACUAAUAAAAUCUUGAAGAUCAAAGCAACUGUUUUUCCUUAUAAAAGUAUCGCUCUGAUCUUCUGUUUGUUGAGAGUGGUGAGUGUCUGCUUUGAGGUUGUGAAGACGAAUGUCUAUAUUACGAAUUGGGAUGAGUUAUAUAUAUCGGAAUCACAGCAUUUGGGUUUUUAUACAUUCAUACAACCGGCUGCGUUGUGGAAUGAAAGUGGCCGCUCGUGAUGAUUUCAUUUCAUGUUGUGAAUUACAACCACCGCGGGGGCUUCUUUGAAAGCUUGCAACAUUGACCAUUGCGAUCGAGUAAGGGGCUCCAUUUUGAGAGCAGUUUUGUGAUGGUACAACUUUUUUGUGAAAAUUUCAAAGUGAGACUUUUUUGUGGAGCUGACGCACCUACUACUAAUUGAGUGGAACAAAAUUCAAUUGUCAAUGUAGGAGAAAAAGAGAAAAUGGCACUCACAUAAGGAGUUUCCUCUCAACCUUCGGGAAAUUUUCAAACUUAUUUAGUAGUUUUAGCAUUUGUUUUAUCAUAUGCUGCGGUCAUGCAGAUGAUACACAGAAGCAGAAAAGAUUAAAUUAUUAUUAUUGGUACUACAAGGCCUGAAUUGAUACAAGAAAGAAACCUGGAUGGGAUUUUUCAACAUGGAGGGGCAUUGAAUAUUGUGCAAGAAAGUACUUUCUCUCUUUCUUUUUCAGUGCGGAUGAACAUAGCCAAGGAUCGUGUAGAGGGUCUGAAGCACGGUCAAGACCAAAAGAACAGACGCAGCCAAAGCUGAGAUGAAUGACCAUGGAGUGUUGAAAUACGUGUACUUGAAGCUCGCCCACUGAACGUGCCAAUUGUUGUGGUAGUAUUGGUUCACUUGAUUGAACAGUCUGGCCAAGUAGCAUACGUCGAUGUCGAACGACACAUCCUUCCCCAUAUUAUUGAUGAAUUUGGCAAUUUCAGCAUCCGUCCCAAAAUAGUUCUCGAUUAUGUUCCGAUCGCACAGAAAUUGGACGUCCCUGGACGUAUUUAUCAGGCAAUCCAAGAAUGUGGCAUAAGUCGUCAUGUGUUUGGAACAACCCGCCUGACAUUGCUCGUAGGCGACGCAAUUCAACAGAAACGAGCACAUGAAAUCAUCCAAAGCAAUUCUUGGCAUCUCGAUUACCCCCCCGUGCCUGAAUUUUAUGGCCAAGAAGCUCUCUUCCUCGCUGGGUUUAAGGUCAAUUCCGGCGCGCCGGAGAUAUGAGAUGCAUUCGAUUACGCGAGUCUUCGGAAACUCGCUGGGCUUAGGUUCGCCGUGUUCCGGGGGGAUGAAGCUUGCGCGGAGAAAGUCCAGCAAAUGCUUGCCUUCGAGCUCGAGGCCGCUGUAUCUGGACAAAGCUGGCUCAGACCUUUGCAGCGCAUUGUUGAAGAAAUUCAGAGUCAUCCGGCCCAAAGACGGCCCUGAUCCUUCGUCAUCGGGCGCCAGGUUUGUCAGCUGAAACAAGCGCUUGAGGAUGAGAAAUGGAAUUUGAUUCUCGAGUCGCAAGAGGUCCCUUAGAAGGAAUGCAUACACCCACGACAUCGAGGUGAGCGGAUCAUCUGGAUCGGCCGGCACCAACCCUCCAAACUUUCGAAAGAGUUCCAGUAUGAAACAACCGUCAAGAACCAACAUCUCUAUGAAUUCAUCACUGCUGUACCCUAUAGUUUCGGAGUAACACUCCCUAGCCUCGGCUUCUAAGGGCUGCACGGCCCUCAAAUAGUCCUCCAACCCGAUGCCCUUUUCUUGCGUCCGCUUCAGAAGAGCGCCCAAGAAUCUCCAUUUGUGCUCUUCAAUCAUAGCUAGGUGGGGCAUGCCGUGGUGGUAAGGACCGAUAGAGACUAUGUAAGGCUGAUAGUGCUGGCCGUUGACAUCGUUAAGGCUUCGGGGUACUCUGAAGAUGCAACAUGAGCUCCGGCCGGCUGAUUUGCUCAGAAUUUGAGGAGCUGCAGAUAUCUUCUGUUGCAUCAAUGAUAACCGAUCUUUGUUUACUUCCCAUAUCUUAACGGCGUGAUGAUGAUGAUGAUUGUUUUCUUUUUCAACCCAAUUGCUGCCCAUCAAGAAAUACCUCUUAUCAUCUAUCGACAAGCAGAGACACCAAGUGAUUCAGAAGCAGGAGACGGAUUUGGAUUUGUAUUUGAAUGGGGCGGCCCGCCUUGCGAAUGUUUUACUAAUCAAAGUCAAGCAUUGAUUGGGCAGUUGUGCCUUUUUCCUUUUCUGUUGGGUAAGUGGUCCGACAUUGAUUGGCAGUUGUGCCUUGCCAAAAAAAACAAAAAAAAUUUCCCGAAACAUGUGCCUUGCCAUUUCAAUCAAUUGAUUUGGUUUGCUUGUACAAUUUGCAAACUUGCAUGUCGUUUGCAGGCUGGCUACAGAGGAGGAUUGGGGACCACUUCCUGCGAGGUGUCUUCAUUUCUUGAAUCAAUGACUAAUAUCUUAUGAGCAGUCCGUUUCUAAUUGGAUAGCAACAUGGAUUUCAAGGCCAUGUUCUAGACAUUUGUCAUGAUAUUUCUUUCUUUUUUUGGGGUGAAAAACUGUAGAGGAAUUAUAAAUUGAGUGUGUUUGGAUAGAAAAUCAUUUGAAAUAUUACUUGAAAUAAUUAUAAUAAUUUUUUUUUCUUUUAAUGUGAUAAUAUUAUGUAAGACCAAAAAAAAAAUAGUUAAAAUAUAAUAUUAAAAAAGCAAUUGUGUCCAAACACGAAAACUCUCUGCUUUCCACAGCUGAAAAUCGCGGACUGAAUUAUUCCACCGGCAGCCUUUGCGAGUCCAUCAAACAAGUGGAUUGGUCCAAAUGGUGCAGCCCAUUGUGUCUUGAAUCAUCUAAACAUCCAGAGGUUAGGUUACGGGCCUCUCGCUAGGAUUUGUAUCAACCACUUUCGCCGACCUUUAGGUACUAGAAUGCACAUGGAUAAUCCAUUACAAGAGCAGACUGGGUCCUGUGACAAAUUUACAUUUUCAACUGAUCCACAGUCCAUCUAUAGGACGUCUGUACUGUAGCCUUUUUAAUUUCGCACGACCGCAUAAAAGUUUUUCGAUGUUCUCUCCGCAAGAUUUGACAAACCAAAAAGUUAAUAAUCAACUUAUAUAUAAAGCCACCAAAAAAAAAAAAAAAAAAUAGAAAUAUGGAGCAUACGUGACGACUACUGAGCUGUGACAAUAGAAAAGCGUCUCUGAUAGUCUUCUUGUUGUUGUGUGUGUUUGGAGAUUUUUUGAAAAAAUUAUUUAAAAUAAUAUUAUUAUAACACAUUUUCUAAUGCGAUGUAUAUGAAAUAAAAAUAUAAUUAAAAAUAUUAAAAAUGUGUUUGUGUUAGGAGGGAAAAAAAAAAUUGGAUAUACAAAAGCUUUCUGGACUUUUCUAAGAAGAAACAUGCUAUACAACUCGAUUGAUCUCUUCUCCUUAUUGUUGUCUACGGAUUUUCCCUAUUCGGGAUAAUUUUAACUGGCAGCUAGCUGGAACCAUUAAAACCCCCAACCAAACACGGAUUUGCAUUUGUGUAUUAGAUGUUUCCAUAAUGUCGGCGUUCUAUUUUAUGCCGGUAAUUAAUGAGAAUGAACUAUUUGUGUGCUAUUUUAAUUUAGUGUUAUAAUCCAAUUCGUUAUUAAACAGAUAAUAUAAAUUUAGUAAUUUAAUACUUUUAAAUUCCAAACCUCAGUUUUAUCAUUCGGCGUCCAGUCCAAUCCUCCGCUCCGCCCCUUUUGGCAGGCCCGUAGACAAGGACGUAUGUGUCGAAAUUAGUUGACCCAUCAAAUCCUCAUAUUAGGGCCACAAUGGAAGCACGCAUUAUUUUAAUGUGUCGUCAUCCAUCCACAACAAAAGAAAAAAGCCUAAUCAUCUCUACCUGCAAAAGCGCGCAAUAGUCCGAGCCCAAUUAUUGCAGUGGUUUGCAGGUAGUGCCUAACACCCAAAGACAGACGUAUAAAGAGAGAAAUGAAACGAUCUCGAAGGCUGAUUGACAACAGGGGGCUCCCUAUUAAUCACGGUAACGGUAGAUAAUAAUGCCAAAUUCUUGACCUUUCUAACAAGCUUGGUUGUUGGGCCGUAGUAAUCAGGAAUCCUAUUGGAGGCUUAGAUACCACUUUGGAUUUUGUUUAUGGGAGUGGAGUCCAAUAAAGCUUGAGUGGUUCUCGUCGCAUGACCCAUUGGCGACCACUGGAUUGAGGUUGAAUCUCUUGCGCUAAUCACCUGUUACGUGACGAAUCAUAAAUGCUUUCACAUCAAUCUUCUGCUUAAUUACUCCAGCUCUUCUCCACCCACUAGCUGAGCUUUUUGACAUUUUAUUAUUAGUACUCUCUACUUCUGUGCAACUGUGAGAGUGUUAAAAUCAACAAUGGCUUUUUCCCCAAAUGAAAAUUAUAUGCGCUUGGUCGGUCAGUUGUGGAAGUGUAAGAAAAAUCUCCACCCAACCGAUCAAUUGGGAUCAAUUUGUCGGCAGGAAAAUACUGGUUUUGUUUUGCCAAUUCCUUUUUGUUUACAUAUUUUUGGCAGGAAAACAUAUUAUUGAUUUGCCUAACUGCAAGUAAUUCUCUAAAGAAAAUAGAAAUAUUACAAAUGUCGUAACUUUGUAAAUUACGGACUUUCUUAGCCAUUAACUUAUUCCAAGUCUAUCCUUAUCUUAAUUCCUUAUUCCUAUACUUUCACCCUCAUUUUAAAAUCUCAGAGCAUACAAAGCAGAGAUUCAGAUUUUGCUUAAAUGGUAUCUGCCUGUAAAUGUAAAUGCACCUACGAAGGCAAUAGAUGUGACCAAUUUCAAAAACACUUAAAGUUUUUUCAAUAUGGAGUGUAGCGAUUGACAAGCGCUGCUGGCAAAGGAGUGCACCCUGUUUAAUAAUUUAGUUCAGUACGUAAAAUUAAUAUGUUCAGAAGUGUUUGAUAACUAAAAAAUAGAACAUUUGUCCUGGGGGUAAUUAGUUAAGUGAUUCUGAAUUAUCUAAGCAAAAACAUGCUCUCAAAAAUAAGUGAUAAACCGUUCACUUAUCACUUAAUGUAAAUGCAAUAUUUAUUACUUUUAUUAUGGCAAAAUAAUUGUUUUGCUGUAUUAGUAUAUGCUAAUAAACUUGCUUUUAUGCUAGAUAAAUUUGUUAUAAUAUUUUUAUACUUAUUUUGUGGUUUUUAAUAUUUUAUUUUCAAUAAAAUUAAAUCAUAUAUCUUGCUAAUAAAGGAUACAUUUUAACAACAUCAUUAAUGAAAUGAAUAAACCAGCAUAAGGACAUAAAUUUUAAAUAUAUGAAAUUCAGCACUCAAUUGUCUAUUAUUACCCAAUAGAGACACUAUCAAUGUUCAGAUUCAAAUCACAAGUUAUAUUUUAUUCAGUACUUUACUAAUUCGGUGAUAAUUUAAUGAAUUCAGAUUCUAAAUCCUAAAAUGCAGAAUUUAAUCUUAUCAAGCGCACCCUUUAAUGAUACGGUACUUGAAAGUGCUUUGGUUGGUUUCAUCUUUGAUCCCGGGGAAAACAAGCAGCCGGUUGCAUCUUCACCAUUGAUACGACAAAAGAUUAGGACGCGCAAAGCAUCCGCUCGAGUACAUAGGACAAUAAUACAAUAUUCAUGUAUCAUUACAAUCUCAACCCAGAUGAAGUUAGAUUAUCAUCCUCCGAUUCUUCUUCUUCUUCUUCGUUUUUUUGAUAAAAGGGCAAAAAAGAGUCGUCAAGGCAAAACCAAAACCACAGUAGAGGUUUUGACAAAAGACCGGAUGAUUAUGGUAGUGGCUCUUCCAAUAUUUCGUCCACCAAAAAACCAAAGAUGGCAAUUUCAAUUUCCAACGCAGUUUCUUCCCUUUGCUCCUGAAACCUCUUCCACAGAUCAAACUCAGUUCUGAAAUCCAAUCCGACCAUCAUGUCAAUGGUAUUAGACUCCACCUCCUUCCAUGAAUCCAAUUUCUUGCAAACUCUUCCUACUACGAUUUCCUUGUUUUCCGAGCUCUUGAUUUCCCUCUUCUCCUCUGAAAUCAAGUCCGAAACUAGCCUCUUCAUGUCAGCUGGAAUUUUCCUUCGACUCGGGAGGCUUGAUUUCCUGCAUACAUCGCUGACAAAUGACUCGAGACUGCAGCCUCUGUACAAUGGCAAUAAGUCAUUCUCCAUACAUUUCUCUUCUUCCUCUGCUCGUUCUUCUUCAUUCUCAUCAUCAUCAUCGUCUAAUUGUUCCAUCAUUCUUUUCUCAAGUUCAACAGGAUCUAGCUCUGCAAGUUUCUCGAAUCUCCGAAGCUUGUACUGAAGCUGCUCCUUUGCCUCUGUGAGUUCAGCAAGAGUCGAAAAAAAAAAAAGAGUUAAAAAUUUUCAGAAACCAAUUCACUUUUUUUUUUUUUUUGGAACGCGUCCAAACAACAGAUAACCGGGCCAUCGAUUAGACGAUUUAAAAAAAAAAACAGACAUCGAAGUUCAUUGAAUAGGGACCUUCUAAAUCACCCACCAAUUUUAAAAAAAAAAAAAAAUUAGAGUUUUUCAAGAAUUGAAAAUUCUAGGUAAGGAAGACCUACUCUUGAUAAACACCAUAAAGCAGAGGCAAAGUCAGACAAUAUAGAAAAGCAGAGGCCAAAAGAAAAAACGUUAACAAUUCCAUCAAUCAUAAUUAUCAUAAACUUAUUGAAAAGGUUGGUUAUUGUAGGAUUAUCAGAAGACCAAUCGCCCUGGAAAAGUAGCAGCCGGUAAAUAUUAGUAAAUAAUUAAGACCACUAGGUAUUAUCUUUCCAUAUCUGCUGAAAAUUAUAAAUCCACCAAAUUAAAUCAAAGGAUGAGCCCAACCACCUAAAUGUGGGUCAGAGGAGUAGUAAUGAGCAUGUUAGCAAGCAAUGCCCUGUUCCUGUACUUGCUAAAAGGAACAAAAUAGGCCAUACAAACAGUAACAGAGCAGCAGAAAACAAAACUGACGUACAAAACAGCAAGAAGGAUGUACUACUACAUCGUCCGUCCCUCCUGAUCAUCAAUUAUGAAAUAGGUUCAAUGGAUCCCACAAAAUUGAAUUUAUGCAUCAAAAUCAGCAAAAUCUACCUGAUUACGACCUUACAAUCCCAUUGUAUCUAUCCACCCCCAAACGAAUUCCAAUAGCAACAUUAUAAAAGCAAAUUCAAUGCUUAAACGCGCCUAAGCCAAAAAGAGAAGUUGGGGUUACGUACUCUGUACAAUAGCAAAACUGCAUUCAAGAUCGUAAUCUUCUUCCUCGUCUUCUUCACCACGAUCCUCGUCUUCUUCAUCCUCAUCUUGGAAUGGAGGAUCCAAUACGGAUACUGGGCUGCACUGCUCUUUUUCAUCCUCCUCUUCUUCUUCCAAUUUCAAUUUAGCGCUAUUUUCAUAGCCAUUGCCUUCAUAUUUAUUAUUCUUCUUGUCCUUGAAGGGGGUUCAUGGAGACAAAUUUUCAAUUAUUUUACUUGCAGCUCAAAUUAUGCAACAAUCUCAAAAUUCACGCAAUUACCGUGAAUUAUCGGCCUUGAAAGUUGACUGCUGACUUUAAAACCAUGAAAGUCAAAAUUUGUAUAUCAAAAACGGUACCAAUUAUUAUUUUGGUCUCAGGGUUUAUUAUUCAUUUUGGUCUCAGAAAUAAAACAAAAUCUUUAUUUGUCUUUUGGCGAAAAAGAUUUGGGUGGCAGAGGUAACCUGAUCAUAAUGCAUACUGUAGCAACCAACACACUGACGUGCGACUAGCCAAAGGUAAAAUGACAUCAAUAACCCUUUUAAAACACAAAUAGCAUCUUCAGCUACUAGUGUAAUAUGUGGGCACAAAAAUUUAAGGGUAUCUUGGUCAUUGGCGGUCGACAUUCCGGCCACCAAAUCAGACUAGCAAGGUUGUUUUGCCGACAAAUAAAUUACAUGAAACUUCAUCAUCUCUUUUUUCCUUCCUUUUUUUUUAAAUUUUUUUACAACAGUCAAAAUGUUGUUCAUCUGAGUCCAAGAUCAAUCAAAAUUUACCCAGUUGUUUAGAUCAUUCAAAUACAGAACAAAAACUAUCUAAUUUUUCUUUUCCUGGAGCAAAUGUUAGCGAAUUUAAUAAUCUAUCUUUAGCUGAGGAGUUUAUGAUGUUGCUUCAAAAAUUGCUAGUUUUACUACUUUAAAAUGUGAAAAAAUUUUCUCCGACAUUCCAAAAAUGUUUGUCGUACGGAUCCAAGUAGAAUUGGGUGGUUUAGCUCUUGCGUAAAUAACAGCAGCAGUAUGUUAUGAUACCGACUACUACUACUACAAAACAAACUAAAUUCAGUAAGACAGGGACAACAAACCUCUUCCUUGCGGCGGCUGGGAGAUGCUGUCGGAGGCGAGAAAUCCGGUGUCCGACUACCACCAAAAGAGGGGCUUCUCUGGAGGGAAAAUCUAAAAGGGCUGGAGCAAAAAAGAUUAUCACAGGAUGCACAAGCACCAUUUAAACUCUGUUGAGCAACAAAAACCAUUUCAUGAUCAUUUAAGUCCUCCUCGGACCUACAGCCACUAGUAGAAGUCUCCAUGUCCAAAGACUUGUUGUCUUCAUUACUCUCCGACCAUCCUGCACUGCUAAGCCUACUAUUGUUGCAAGAACAAGAAAAUGCUCCAUCCUCAAUAUUGGUACUCUCCAUGGCAGCUACAUUUUCCUCCAUUUUCGCAUCGCUUUUUCGCGGAAUUUUGAAUUCAGCGUCUCGAAUGCCACCUUUCUUGUUCUUGUUUCGGUCCUUGAGUUUUUUAAGAAUGGAAGAAAAUAAGCCGAGGCCCUUGUUUCUAACCUGAUGUGAUUUGGGCUUUGCGAGAGAGGAGGAGGAGGAGGAGGAAGAAGAAGAAGAAGAAGGCUGCUGUUUCUGAAUCCUCAUUGCAGCUUCGAGAAGUAAGGCAGCAGUCCUGGCUGGGACGUGGGGGAAAACUGUACCGGUUUGAUUUCUUCUACAAGGACUCUUGGCCGGCGAAGGAUGCAAAUCAAGAAAAGGAGACAUUCUAACGUCCACCGGAGAACCAUGGAAAGAUAAGAAGCAAGCAUGCCUGCAUAAAUUGCUUUUGUUGACUGCUCUGGUUUCGAUGAUAGGCUUGCCCUUCUUGAGUUGUAGUGAUGUGGAGGCCGUUUUGGGAGGAGGAUUGUUGGACCUUUUAAGCAGACAGCGCCUAUCGGCUAUGUACUUCUUCAAGUGAAAGGGCUCUUGAUCCUCUUUCAGAAGUUCGUGUAAAUGUUUUUGAGCAGCCAUGGGAUGGGUAUAGAGAGAGCACCGGUACCACUACCACCACAGCGGAAAACCCUAUAAAAUCUUGAUGGAGAUGAUGAUGAUGCAGGGAUCAGUUUUUGAAUUGGGCUCGGAGUUUAAAGAGCUGCAUGAGAAAAGAACCAGUGGAAAGAUUGGAGAGGUUACAACUAGAAAAGGUGUGGUGUGGGGUUGGGUUUGAAAAGAGAAGGGGUAAUAUACGAAGUAGUAGUACUAUGAAGAGAGAGAGAGAGAGAGAGAGAUAAGGAAGGAUGGAACGGGGAGACUUCCGGAUUCAAAUCUUGGGUUCAAUUUGCAAGAUCGAGGCAAGCCAGGAUUGUGAUAGAUAAAUUAUUGAAAAGCUUAGUAGGCUACUAGAUUAAUGCAACAGUUGCAGCGGUAAGACGCUAUAGUGCUGAGAGAGAGAGAGAGAGAGAGAGCAUACUUUUAGCAUUGUUGUUUGGUUGUUGAAAUGGCUGCAACUUUUAAGUACCACGAAUUUCAGGGCAGAAUUGACCGCUGGAGGACGCGCCAAAGAGUGAACUCGGGCCAGAGUAACCCCGGGAGGGCGAGGGGUGGUGGGGGAUGGGUAUCUCUGUUCUCUUUCUCGCUCUGCAAAUUGCCUUUUUGUUUUCGUUGUUGUGGCGUGUACGUGGUUACCGUGGGAAUGGGCCAGAGCUGUGGUUGGGCCGCGAGGGCUGUGUAUAAUGGUGUGGUGGUUUGCCGUGAAACAAUGAUAAAAGUCGCUGCCUUUACGGGACCAGUAAGGACUUUCCACGUGCUUUCCCAGUCCACAACUAUACAUUAGGAGGUUUUAUAGUAGGGAUGAUCUGAGAAAUUUUUCCUAAUGUUUCUCAUAAUAUUACAUAGCACUUCUUAAGUUUAUUUUUUAAAUUUUAUUUACCUCCCUUGAAUUGGCAUUAUUGUUUGUAACAUUUUAAUCUUUUUGGAGGAAAUGCUAGAGGGAUAAAAUUUAUUUUCCAAUACUGCUUUAUGUUAUUAUACUUAUGAAGCUUAUAAUAGCGAUAAAAAAAAAAGAAAGAUUAAAGACUAAAUAGAUGAAAGCAUGAGAACAUUUAUAAAUGCAAUAACAAAUGAAUUUUAGAUAUACAGCAACUAUUACCUAAUAUGACGAAUGAUAUUUUAAGAAAAAGAUAUCCUAGAUACAUAUUUAGUUAUUAGAAUAUGACAUAACUUACCCUUAGAAUCAAAGACGGCUAUUUUGAAAAAAAAAAAAAAAAAAAGUGCGUAUGAAUAUGAUUAAUUAAUACCAACAUUUUUACUCUCUUAUUAUCUAGUAUAAAUUAUAGGGAAAAUAUGAAAUGGUUUGGAGGUUGAAGGGAAUUAAUUAUUCGUGGAGUCAAAUGGAUACUAGUAGGUUUAAUUGAGAAGAAACAAUAAUUUGUAUGUUGACGGAGUUGAGGAAGAAUUUUAACUCUGGCAUAUUUCUCGUGCAACAUUGCCACAUCACCCCGCCAACUUCAAAGUCAAUUAUCAUCACUUUUCCUUUUUUUUUUUUUUUUUUGUACCCAUAUGCAAAUGCAAACAAUGAUAGAAUUUGCAAAAUCCCGAGCUAAAUUAAGCUGUUACUCACUGUUGAAGUAAUUAAUGGUGUCACUAACUCAUUGGAUGCCAACAACCACCAACCAAUUGCGUAUUUCCGUUAACAACGACGAGCAGAAUAUUUUGCCGUACGCUGAACAGUCACACCGAUGCCUAGUCUACACAUCGAAACAGUUGCAGAUAUAUUCUCCAUGAUUCGCCGCCGCCGCCGGUGGUGCUAACGUAAACCUCGAUGCAGGAACAGCGAAAUACUACUACUACUGCUACCACUAAUUACUAGCAGUAUAAAAGGCUCCGCCUUUCAAAUUGAAUGUGAAUAUAUCGGCGAGCCGGUAUACAUUUCCGGAAUAAAGUGGUUUCCGUCUGAGCCGAAACAUGUGGGAAAACGACAAGAGGAGAGAUUUGACGAGAUCUUUGACGGUCAACUCGCCGUGUAUAUUGAGUUUCUUCAAUCCCCCAAUUGUUUACCAACGAAGAGGAAAGUCAAAUCACAAAAUGAAAAUUAAACCGAACCAAAUGCGCCUUCAUAUAAAUUUUAAAACAAAAUAGUGAUGAAAAUUAAAAUUUAAACUCUUUAACUUUCCAAUUCAUCAAUAUUUAAGAAGGAGCGUUUGAUUUAAGAGAGAGCAUUUAGUGUCAAUUUUUUAGAAUCCUGUCUUGAACCGGAAAAAGGGGAAAAAAAAUCUUUAUUUCACUGUUAAUUUAAAUGAGGGAAUACUCUGCAUUAUACGCUUUCAGUUCUCCUCUCAAUCAUUAUUAUUAUUAUUAUUAUUAUUAGCGACUAAUUCACCGAAUCCAAGCAGAUAAUUGAUGAUGCGCGCAUAAAUCGGACCCACAGUCCACAAACGAGAGAGGAUAUGAUGGAAAAUCAUUACGGUAGUCAAAUCCGAAUGUAAACAAUCAAAAAGUUUUGAUCGUAUAAGUUUCACAAUACGCACAAAAAAUAAAUAUGAUUCGAAGGAGUCAAAGGGGCACUCGAGCUGUUUUGAAGCUGCUUUCUGAAGGAUUGGCAGCAACAACAAUAUUAAUUCAGGUAAAGUACUUGCUACUCUACGCGCAAAAAAGAAAAAGAAAAAGACAUUUUACCACUACUAGCAUCGCUCACUGUCCGUCCAUGCGUGAACGUGGCUUUGAAUACAGGUCGUACCUCCUCCUCAUGUCCAGUCCACUUCACUUGCUUACACCUCUGCUUUAAUUCAAACUAAAGAAUUCUUAUUUUAGUGUACCCAAACUACCUCUGCUUUUAUUUUAUUUUAUUUUAUUGAAUUGAAAUGCUGCUGCCGCUGCUGCUGCUGCUGCUGCUGCCGCUACCACUACCAGUGCAGUGCAGUGCGGUGCAGUGUUAGUACUUGGAGAGAAAAAGGAUACUACUGUAGUAUAUAUGCAUAUAGUAUCAAUUAAUUGAUUGAUAGUUGUUGUUGCAUUUGGGACAUGUGACUUGGAGACUGUGACGCGUGACCCCCACCCUUCCCGAUUUAACAGCUUCGACUUUUUUUACCAGGAAACAAAUUUUUUUUUUUUUUCAUUAACAUACUUUGAGAAUGUUUGUUUGUAUCUCUGAGGUUGUUGGGUACUCCAUCUCCUCCUUUUCUUUUUGAACGUGUCCCGUUGAUAGUAAUCAUCGGCUCUGUUUGGAUUGUGAAUUAUUUGAGAUAUUUUUACUGUAAUAUUUUUUGUGAUGUGAUGUAUGUGAGAUAAAAAAAUAAUUGAAAAGAUAAAAAGGUGCGUUGGAAAUUGUAAUGAUGAUGUAAGCAAAUAAAUUUUGGCUAAUAAUUCUCUAUCCAAACAAACCCAUCAUUUAUUAUCCCUUCCACUUUUUGAUAAUUAAGUGACGCACCAAUCUCCUUUUUUUUUUUUUUAACUCUCUCCUUCCUAUAUUAAUAAUAGAUUUAAUAUUUUUCAUUUCAAAUUAUAAUUUUUUUAAAACAUUCUUAUUUAAUGUAGAUUAUUAUUGAGUACAAUUUAACUCAUUUAAUACAAAGUUAAUUAGUCAUAUUCAUUUAAUGCAUGAGUGUUUUAGCAAGAUAGUAGUGAAUUCGAUUUAUUCUUCUGGUAAAAUUAAAUUAGUUUUUCUUAAAUUAUGUGAAAAAAAAUUAAAGAACGUCUCCGUUGGAAAAAACACGCCCGGUUGCUAUUUUCUAGUUGGUGUCCGUCCUUUUUUACAGCCGAACAUGAAUGUUAGUGGUGUUGUGAUUGUAACAGCGUUAGAUUGUCCUGAUUCAUCCUGUCUUGUAGUUGUCAAUCAACUUUCUUUUGAACUUUCUUUGUUGUCAAUGAACGAAAACUCCCAACCCAACGUAAUCACGCUGUAGCCUGCAUUUUACCCCCAACCCACAUUCCUUUACCGUCUGCUUAAAACAGAGAGUAACUACUUAAUACCAGUAGUAAAGUUAAGGUUGUGUUUGAUUGCAUUUUUCAUGAUUUUUCAUGGAAAAAUUACUGUAACGAUUUGAUGUAUGUGAGGAAAAAAGAUAAUAGGGAAAUGUGAUCACGAAAAAACAACGCAAUUGCAUUCCGGCUUCUCUUCAAAAUUCGCAACUCGCAACACAGCUGUCACUCUGGGGACUGCCGUAGAACUUACAAAGACAAGCUAAGGACCUAUCCUGUUUUGACACGCGGACGAUUUUUGGCUGUCCGUUGACAACAAAAAAAAUAAUAAUAAUUGAAGAACAAAAGACAUGUACUAGUCACCGAAGCCGAAACCAUAUCAUGAAUAAGGGACAGAAACAAUUGCCAGUUCGAUCAUUUUUCCGCACGAUGUCAUUUGAACAAAAUUUAAGACACGCUUGACUAUCUGUACAACAUUAAAACAAUACUGUAAUAUUCUGUCAUUAUUUAUGUGGAUUCUAUAAACAAUAAUUACAUAUUUGUUAUCAAAUUCAUGCACGCUUACUUAUUCAGCAGCUUAAAUAUUACAUAAAAUAAAAUAGAGGUUAAAAACAUCCAAAAUUAAUAGUUUGAGGGCUCGCUGGAGGAUUUACUCUAAAAUAAACUUGUGAUGGGUUUUUAGUAAAGUCUGGUCGAAGAGGUAAUAACAGUUUGCACGGUGGUCUAGACCCAGGAUAAUUAGCUCACCUCGAUAAAUUCAUACGUGCCACAAAGUUUUUUUUUUUUAAAAAAAAAAAAAAAGAAGAUGAUACUGCCAAAAGUACGUAUCCUACUUUCAAAGUAUUUAGAAUAUACAAUUGCCUGCUCCGAAGCUUUGUCUCCAAUUUCUAGAAAGAGAAAAGUAAAAAGUAGAAGUUACAUAAAGAUAGAGAGAGGAGGCGAAAGUGCAGUUAUUUAGUUACAAAAAUUUGGGUACUACAUCGAAGUGAUCUCAAAGUUUCGGCUAAUUACUCACAAUAUGGUUGAAAAAAAAAAUUUCGAACAUCUAUUGCUCUGACAUUAGUCCGGUGCAAAUCUAUGGAUGCCGGACUGACACGGCCCGCCACCCAAAAGUCAGUCAAAUUUUUUUUUUCAGCUUUGACAUCCUUACAGCGGAUUUUUUUUUUUUUUUUUUUUUACAUAUAAAGUUAUCGGCUGUCGGGCUGACAAGGCCCGAUAGCUGACAGCUUCUAUAAAAAGCUGACUGGUGGGCUGAAAGAGCUUUUUUUUUUUUUUUAUCUUAAUCAUAUUUGAUAUCCCAACCCUUUCUUUCAUAUUUACGCCUCAAUUAUUUGAAAUAUGAAACUCAAUUAAAAAAUAAAAUCUACCACAAUAUUUGACAUGUACAAAAUUCACUGAAUUAUGUUGAAAAUUUCACCCAUUUUCCAAUACAAUAAUUUCACCCUUUUUUUAUUAAAAACUUAUGUCGCUUGACGUACUAAAUCCGACAGUCUUUUAAGUUAAAUGAUGUUUCAAAAUUCGAACAGCAAAAAUAGAUGAAAAUAGGUUUGUUAAAUCAAUAAUUACUUCUAUAAGAUGUUAAACUAAAUAAAGGCCGUUUUAAAUAAAAAACAAAAAAUUGGACUGACUGUCGGGCACUCUCUGGCUAUCGCCCGAUAGCCAGCUUUGUGCAGAAGUUGUCAGCUACCGGACCUUGUCAAUCCGGCAGCCGAUAACUUUAUUUAAAAAAAAAAGUUUUUCCACUGCUGAACUGUCAACGGUGUCAGAAGGUUUGAUUGGAAUUUUGGGUGUCGGGCUAAUUCGUACCAUGGAUCUAUCAGAGCCAUGGAUGUCCGAUUAAUCUUUUUUUCGUCCAUAUUCUAAGCAAUUAGCCCAAAGUUUCAAACAAUGUAAAUCUGGCUUCUGAUACCUCAAAAUUUUGACCAAACAAGCACAACUGAUUGAAUUGAAUUCAGUCAAUUACAGUGCCAAAUUUGUUUUCUUCAAUAUUUUGGUAACUAUUUCGGUACAGUGCCUAAAAUGCCUAAACUUUGAGAAACAAAACUGCAAUUUUGUGGAGGAGAUAUCUGUUCAAAGAAUUCUUGAACCUGCACACAAGUUCUUGUGGAUGAGGAAAACUAAUUGGAAGAUGCAAAUCAAAGUAACCGACUGCUAGAAUUUAAAAGCACAAUUUUUCUCCAAUGAUCAGUUCCUAAAAUUAUUUCCUUUGCUGUGUUUUAUUGGCAGACACGGAAAGUUCUUGGCUGGUCAUUAGCUUAGCUAUAUAUAUAUAGUUGACGACUUGUAGCUUCCAAUUCCAUGAGUUAGAAGUCGCACCAAAAGUUGCGGCAGAGUGUUUCUUUUCUUCCUUUCAAAGCAGAUUCAGAUCACUAUACAAUUUUAGUUAGGAACUAGGAUGUAGGAGACAGCAAAGACUACUGGAAACAAACUCCUAUGAACAUGUUCAAAGUUCCUUUUACCCUAUAGUACCCCACCCCCCUCCAAAAGACCAUAGAAGUAGGAUAAUUUAGCACCUGGACCCUUUUACAUGCGCUCUACAUCUCAAAAGUGAAAAACUUUUAUCUUGAUUGCAUUUCAUUAUUGAGAUUGGAUGCUCAGCAAGCUGGACGUGCGACAAAAGCAGCUGCUUUUGGAGUACCAAAUACAAAUUAUAACUCCAUUUAACCACAGAAAAAGGUAAAAGCUGCCCGCACUGGUCAACUGGAGAAUGCUGCUGCUGCUUUAACCUAUCAACUGAAUUCCAUAUGGGGGGCAUAUCUACAUGUAGAGCUGGCAAUUUGUCCCAAGUCCCAAUGGGCUACCCAUGCCCAAAGGAACUUUGGGCGGGAUGGAUAUUAUAAUUUGGUAUUGGGUUUAAGUUGGGACACAUCCCAACUAUACCCAUUAAUGAAUGGGAAAGGAUGGGAAAUACUUGGGUACCCAUUGGGCUCAAAUGGCAAGGGCUCCGUUUGGAUUAGCUGUUUUUGGUAGGUGUUUUUGAAAUAUUUUAUUGUAGCCGUGUAUAUGAAAAAUUUUUACUAUAAAAUUUUUUUGAAAUAUUUGAUAUACUAAUAUGGAUGGGAUGUUUCUUGAGUUAUUGUAUAUUACUGUAACAUUGUAUUUGAAAAACUUAUUUUUUGAAAAAAUAGUCAAUCCAAACGGUGUCUUAGAUUCAAAAAUUAUCUUUAACAAUUUUUAUAGUCAUACCAGCGAAUAUAAUCUAGUAAUCUUCUUAGUCAUUAUCCACAAGAAUUUCCAGCAUUUCAGUUAGUUUAGACCUGUCAUCCUUGGACAAUGAUGAGGAUAAAUAUUCAACAUCCUAAGGACCUUGGCCAUCUUGAUAUAUGUUGGAAUAUGGCUGUAUAUCUAUCUUUUCCUUUAUUUGUUAAUCCAAUUUUUGGUGGGAAUCUUGAGUAUAAAGCACUUGCAUGUUUAUUUAAUAAAACUAAAAGAAAUUUAAUAAAUCAAAAAUAUUAAAAUUAUAUAAAAAAUAAAAAAUGAAUUAAAGGAAAAAAAAUAUGUAGAAAAUGAAUUUGGGUAUUGGGCGGGAUGAAUCUAAACCCAUCCCAAAAUGAUCCCGCCCAAGUUAGUCCCAAAACACAUAUGGGUAAGGUUGGACCCAAACCCAUAUGACUCGGUUCCAUCUCAAACCCAAGCAAAUCCCGCCCAUUUUGCCACCUCUAUCUACAUGCAAAACGCAGAGAGGUGCGGUACUGGUUCUAAGGGCUCAGUAAUCGGGAGGAACUGUCCAUGCAGGUCGCUAGUUAUAUCCUAAUUAUAUUUCCUUGAUGUUUAAAUAUUUCUCUCUCGUGCACCUCUACGUCUGCAAUCUGCAAAGAGGAUCCGAUGCCGGAUACAGUAGCUUGUUGUAUUUAUGGUUUAAGGUCACGGUUUAGGUCGUGGCCGCCAUGUAAUUGUUACAGUUGUGUGGCGAGAUACAUAUUUAUUGCUAUAUAAAUUAUUCACAAAAAUUACAUAUAUUGUACUUUACACAAUUAUUUUUUAUUUAUUUUAAAAAAUACAUAUUUUUAACUAAUUUAUAAUACACUAUGUCUACGAAUUUAAUAUUUUUAUGGGUCUUUGAAAUAUUACCUAAAAGAAUUGUUAGAAAAAGCUAACUAUAGAUGUUAAAUUGAUAUUCACUAAUUUUUAUUUAUUUUAAACUAUAAUAAUUAUUGGGUAGGCAUAUUUUGUAUGUGCCAUAUAUUAUGUAGAUGUAAUCAAAUUGUAGGAUAAGUUCAUAAGUCAAUUUUAAAACAUUUAAAGAUCAUGAUACAAUGCAAAAAGUUGCAGUUUUCAAAGCCAAUUCUUUAUUGGUAUUUCUUGCUUGGAAUUGAUCAACAUUUUCUUUAAAGUACUAGUAUGGAGAAUUCAAAUCACGAAAUCUCACUUAUACUCCUUCCGUCUAAAUCACCUGAUCCAUCCCUCUUCCCUCAUUUCAAAGUCAAUUCUUUAUUGGUAUUUUGUUGACGAAUAGCAAGAGUAAUUUGUUGAAGGACAGUGAGAGUAAUUUUAUUUAAGCAUAAAAAUAAAACUAUAAUUAUAUAUAUAAAUAUAAAAAUUUUAGUGAGGUCAGUAUAGACAAUUCCCUCACAGCCCCCACACUUUUUAUCCGCCUCUACGUUUUUUUUUUUUUUUUUUUUUAAGCGUCUGUCAGUAAUUGUGUGCGUAAUUUUUUUCAUCACGUGGCAGAAGUAAGUAGGGUUGACGCCUAAAGAGGGAGUUUGGAUGGAGGGCGCAAAGACGCCUCCACGUUGACGGACCAACUAGUCCAACUGGUACAUUAAGUAUGAAGGAAAUAAAUCAUCCAUGUUCGUGUUGUUUGUCCUUUUCUGCGUUUAUUUACUUGAUUAAAUUUCUAUUUGUCGUCGGCAGCGUAAACGAAGCUUUAAUUAUCCAUGUACUUAGCAUCCUAAUUAAUUGCAACCAAAUUCAACCUAGUUUUUUUUUUUUUUUAAAUGCAACCUAGUUAAAUCUAUGGAGCUCUUGCAUCAGAUUCUUUGACUAAGUGCCGUGUUUUAUGUCCUCAUUUCACUUGAUCUGGAACUAAUUAAAUCUGGAAAAGACAACGAGGGACUCGUGAUGAUUCGAUUGGUCCUAUCCAAACAAUUUUAAUAUUCCAAAUUUUCAAUUAUUUCUACCAUAAACUGUGGCGCAUUGUACAAUGAUACUCAGAAAAUUAAAAAGUGGAAAAUUGACGCUUGCAUCAAAACGGUAAAAUCAAGAAAAGAAAAUGUGAUUGAUAAUUGUAUAAAAAAAAAAUAUUCAUGGAAAUGCGAAUCUUGUUAAAUUAGCAAAUCUAAAUAGGGUUUAAACUCGAAGAAAUUGCUCGAUAUUCUAACAACAACUGACGUUUUAUAUAUUUUGCUGGUUGAUGUCAUCCAAGCAAAUUGAAAUGAUAACUACUUCCAAAUUUUGUUCGCAAUAUGUUCUACACCAAAAAAAUCUAAUAAGAAAGCAGGUUCUUCACGUUUUGCUUUUCAUUUUUAUUAAUUAUUGAUAUUUGAAAUAUUAUUAGAUUAUAAUUUCCAUCAACAUAACGGUUUCAAGUCAUGUCCAUGUGGUCCUCCGUUUAGUCAUACUAUCCGCAUGAACAAUAUAACUAUUAAUUUAAGAUUGAACCUUUUGUGGUCCUAAAAAUUCAAUUUCUUAUGUAAAAAAGGGAAAAAAAAAACAAUAAAAAGAUUAUAGUGAAGCUAUUCGUGUUCUGUUUAACAAGUCCGAUCCUCAUUUAAUUUACCCACAUCUAUUGCUGCGUUCUUCAAGAAAAAGAGAAGAAGUGUACGUGUUAAUUUCUUCGAGUCAUGCAUUCAGCGGAAAAGGGAAACUAACGAAAAAUGCCAAAGCUUAAAAUAUUUUAAUUGAUGAAAAAUAGGAUAUCUGUGGACUUUUUUUUUCCCCCUUUUUUAUUUGCAAAUUACACGUGUUUAGCAAACACAAUUCAUAUAUAGUGAUGCUGUAUUGUAAAUUUCUCUACAUGUUUAGAAUUCACGUACACAUGUCACUGAAUCGAGUUUCAAAUGAAUUUAACUCAGAUCUAACAUAAUUUUUAUGGGUUUGAAUCCGAAUUUGGAUCUCGCUAAAUUUAAUGAAUUUGAGUCUGAAACAAGAGAAUUCAAUACAAAUUCUAUCUAUUGUCGCGUGCCUAGAUAAUAUUUCAUCUCCAAGAGAAAUGAAAUAAAAGGUAAUUAAUGAUUUCCCUAUUUGAAUAAAAAGCCAAUUUUUGAUGCAGGGCUGGCUAUGCUACCCUCGUGGGCCCUUUAAAAAUAGCAAAAAGUAAAAAAAAAAAAAAAAAUCAAAGAAAAAACAAUAUUACUUUUUGUCUCAUUGCACAAACAAAUGCACCGUCAUUCAGUGCAUUCAUCCCUACCAAAAUCCGGUGGUCUAUUUCCCACGUGUACGCUGGUCAAUUCUGUCCGCGUGUCAGAAGAUGUGGGAGAUUUGCUAGGACCUCCGCGAUACAGUUUGGUCUUUUAUUGUCCACACUCCACACCAAGGUCAAAGCGGUAACCCUCUACACAUUGGAUUCUUUUUUCCCAAAUUUGUACUCUUGCACCAGUCACAGCGACAGCGGUGCUUCCUUUUCACUUUUCCCUGCGCCAUUUUCUAUUUUGGCCAAUUGAAAUAUAUAUAUAUAUAUAUUUUUUGAUUGGGUGCUUUGAGGCCAACAAUCGCACGCGCACCAGGUAUGUCAAAACAAAACUUUGCUGCUGCUGCUGCACGAUGUUCAUAUCAUAUACGAUUCCCAUUUGAGGGUGAAGACUCCGAGAAUUCUUUGGAAGUAUUUUACUGCUGGCUGGGUGUAAUCUUGUGCUUUAUAGUGACUAUUAAGUGGAUGGUUGUUUGAGGAUAUGCAUGGUUGUUUUUUAUGAUCAAGUUUAUGAAUUUUUUUAGAUCCGUCGUAGCAUUUGAUUUAAGAUCCGCGUGAAUUUGUGUUAUAUUUGCUGCUAUUAGUGAAGAUAUGGAAUAAAAACGUACUUUCUUAUUUUUAUUUUUAUUUUUUAAAAAAGAAAACUACAAGGUAAGACCCGGUGGCAGCACUUGGAAUUCUCGGUGACAUGUUUUCUAUACCAAUCCAAAAUUACCUAUAAUAUUGUACCAAGUGUUCUGUUAUUAUUUACACUUGUGUUAAAUCAAAUCAAGUUGAAUUAUUAGAAAAUUAAAGUGUAAAUAAUAACAGGACACUUGGCGCAAUAUUAUAGGUGACAUUGAAUUGACAUAGAAAAACAUGUCACCGAGUAUCCCAAGUGUGAUGGCAGGGGGUGCAGUAGAGUUAAAACUCCAAGUCAAACUAAUCAACCUGGCUAAGAUGCAAGAAGUAUUUUUUCCUAAUUUAGGCAGUAUUUUUUCUUGAAGAUUUUUUUUUUUUAAAAAAAAGAGAGAGAGAAGAGCAUUUUUUUUUUUUUCAAUCUGUGCUUUAUCUAACAUUCAGAAAGGACGAGGCAGAACAACAAAAUAAAAACGUUUGCACAAAUUCAGAUGCAAGAUUAUUUUAUAUAUUUUAUGCGAACCCACGGCUCUCUCGUAGCAGACAUGCAAAUCCUCCGUAGAAUAGCAAAACGACAACGCACUUUGUCCUCACACACUCUCUCGGACAUAUAUGCACACGUUCAAUCUAAUGUAGCCGAUCGAUUCGACCAUAAACGGGGUCUUUUCAUGUAGUCAUCAUGAGGUCGUGGAUGGCUUUUAAAAUUCUUUUUCAUUAUGAAAUUUAUGAUUUGGAUAUAAUAGCUGGAAAAGGGAAGAACGUAAAGAGAUUUUCAUUGACAAGAAAAGAGCGCAAAAAAAAAAAAAGAAGGAGAAAUUUCUACCAUGCGAGCAUACAUUUGCAUCCCCUUAAAAAAUUAGAGGAGGAAAAAAGCAGCAGACUACCUCCAUCAGUCACCCAAAUUGUGAUAUGAACGUGUUUGGAGCACAAAAAUUUGGGAGGAUGAGAGAAAUUGACAUCCACUCGAUCGUGUUACAAGGCAAUUACGAUUCUUCAUAAAGUAUGGGACGGUUGGCUUGUAUAGGAAUGCCUAUCCAUACCUCAUGAUCUAAUGACAGAAAUGGUACCGUUGGCGGCUAGUGCCACCUGACCAAACGAGCAUUUUUUUAGUUUAGAGCAAGCAGUUGCUUAGACCAUGCUCCACUAAUCCGUAGUAAUUACCCUAAUCUAUAUUUUUCGUGCCAUUUUGUCAUGGCCGUUGACCGGUAUGUUCACAUGCCAUUUUGUCUCUAGUUCGAAACCACCUUCAAUUAUUCUUGCAUUAUUUCUCGGGGUCAAAGCCGUGAGAUGCUGCCAUUUCAAUAAAUUAAAGCAGCGUCAGAGUUUAAGGAAGAACAUCUUGACUGAGUGCGAAGAAGGGUUUCAGAGGAUACUUCACGUCAACUGGUAAUUAUUGGAAACAAAAUCUGAAUUUGGAGCUCUGGUGCUAAUUAAAACUUGGCUCAGUGAUUUUUGAAGACAAAUGAAAUGAAGUACUACGACCCCCGCCUUCAGGUGUUGUCGGUAACAAAAGAAAUCAAAUGGAUUGCAAUGGCGCAACCACAUUCGAUCACGCAAGGCACGGGACGUCAGACUAGUUUCAAAUGUGCUCUUUUUGUUUAGUUAAAAAUGAUAAGAAUCGUAUAAGUUUUAAGAUUAGCACUCAUGCUAUACACAUCACACUAGAUGAGGAAAUAUCAUAUUUCCUCGGUAUCAAGUACACUGACUGUAAAAUUAACUCGAUUCUUUGCUCACAAUUGUAUUGCUUUUGAAAUUAAUAUUAUCAAAUGUCGUUUCGAAAAAAAAAAAGAUUGCAGUGACUCAAAUAAACAUAUUUUUAACCCCUCGAAAGAGAGCAACAUAUUUUUGUGGAGAUAGAGAAGUCCAUUUCGAUUGGAGGUAGAAUUUCCCGGUCGGACCCAAAGCGUCGCUUAGAAACUCUUUUUUUUUUUUUGAGUGAUCCUCUGCUGGCCUUUCUACAAAAGUCCUUGGGGCGCUGUAUUUGAGAGCGUCUCCAUCUCUAAAGCCCAAAUCUUAUUGGACAAAGCCCCUUUCUUUAUAGUUUGAUUGAACCGGGCGGACCUGAAACCGUGCAAUUUAUCAUCGUAUAAGCACGUCUGGCUGCCUGGCCAACAACUCACUCUCAUUGUAUCCCCUAAUCCUGCUACACUAUUCACUACAUUUAAAGUUGAUCAAAGCCUUGCACCAAUCUCUUUUGAGUUAAGGCACCGAUCUCAACCUUGCUUUCCUCCCAAAUUCCCAGAGUUCUGAAAAAAACCCAAGGCUACGGUUAACAGGAUAUUGAGUCUCGCAUUAAGUCACUGUAGAAGUCUGGACAUCCACAUGAAAAAGCCCAAGCAUCAUGGGCCUGCAUCAUUUCCCGGCAGUGACAUAGAUGGAGCUUCAUCAGUGGGCUCACUAAACCACCUUUCUGCCAAUUGCUAGAUUUUUUUUUUUUUUUUUUUUGGAAGUAGGGUGAAUGAAAGGUUUGAAUUUAAAACCUCUUACCUACCAUCCUUCCUACCUUACUAUCCAACCCAACCAUCUUUUUUUUGCUAGAAGUAAGGUUUUUUUUUUAGUUAUUAUCACUUUACUCCCUUAAACUAUAUCACUAUUACCAAUCUACCCCCUAAUAUAAUCACUUUACUCUCUAAUAUUGUGUUUGGAUAGAGUAUUAUUUGAAAUAAUUACUGUUGUAUUUUUUAUGAUGUGAUACAUGUGAGAUAAAAAGGUGAUUGAUAAUAUAAAAGAGUGAGUUGAGAAUGUGCUUGUGAUGCAAGUCAAAUAUUAUUAUUUGGCAAAAUUGAUCUAUCCAAACAUAAAAAAGUAUUUUACCCUAUUGUUAAUCUAAAAAGUAUGUUAAAAAAUGUUUAAAUGUAUUAACCUUUUUUUAUAUAUAAUUAAAAAUAAACAAAAUGGAAUAAUUAUUCUUCCUUUUUUUCACUCUAAGAUUUCAAAAACAUAAAAAUAAAAAUUUUCAAAAUUUUUCACACUUUUUAAUACCUGCAAAGAAAGAAAAUAAGGAAGAAUAUACUAUUAUCGUAUUACUUUAAUGUCCUCGGGAUUAGGAUUGGAAUUGGAUAAUAAAUAGAAAAAUAAAAUAAUUUUAAAAUAAUAAAAAUAUUGAAUUCUUUCUUGUUUGUAUUAAAACAAAGAAUUGAACUCUCUCUCUUCCUCCCCUAUUUUUCUAUUUUUUUGAAUAUCAAUAAGAUUGUCAAGAAGAAAGAGAUUAAUGUUUUGAUUUUUUUUCUUGAUACUAAAAACGAGAAGAGCCACUCUAAAUUUUUUAUUAUUUUUAUUAUACAAAAGAGAGGGUACUAUAUUCUCAAGUUUUUCAACUAGUCAAGUUGAUUUAUUGAUGGGAUAAAUUGUCUAAAAAAUAACUAUAGGGGAUAAAUUGAUAAUAAGGCUAUAGUUUAUGGGGGUAAAGUGAUAAUAAUUUUAAAAGUUAAACAUGUUUUAUCACUCGAAUUAAUAAACUCCAUUAAGUUUGAUCGUUAAUUUUGAGGGUAAAAUGACUACAAAUAAUUUUAUGGGAAGAAAUUGAUAGUGAUGUCAAAUGUUAAGAGAGUAAAGUGAUAAUAACCCUUUUUUUUGGGCGAGGGAUUAGCACUUCAGCAAUGUAAGUUGGGCCUUUUGUUUGGCGGCAAGAGUCGGUUAAUGCUGAGGUUGACUCUUAAUUUUCCGAUAAUUGUAAUUCUUUGUAAGGGCUUCUUCACAAGAUGCAUAACGGCCAUUCAUAUGGCGAUAAUAUAACUUCCACUUAGCCGGUGCCGUACCGACUAUCUUUCCUCUAUAGCCGUUACGAUGCACAAACAACAUAGUACACAACAGCGGCCUUUGUUUUUGAACCAAAGUGCACGGUCCCUUUCUUCUAUAUCUCCUCAUGCUCCCGGAAAAUAAAUGUUGGUCAUUCUACGCGGACUUGAAAGCAUUGGUCAGCUUUAAAGCGGUCCAUUUGGGUCGAAUUUUAGAAUUUAGAACAAGCGGACCAAAAAAUUCUAGUCUGUUUUGGAACAAGAACAGUAACCUAUAUGUGUCUUGAGAAAUUUUUUGACCUGAUCAAGUCUGUUUAUCACCUUUUUUGUAAAUGCUUUUUUGUAAAUGCAAGGAAGGAAGGAAGGGAUGUUUGCAUUUUUCGAAACGCACACAGCACCAACCGGAGGGGCCACUCCGUGUUUCCCACUAUUGUUUUAUUUCGGUUCCUUCUCUGAGGGAGUGACUAGUGAGGGGUGGACCAAAGGCUAAGGCACUCGCCGCACAAUUAUUAGCAUUGGGGAAUGUUUCAGCUUUGUCUGUCUUAUCCACUCUAACUAGUAAGACUUACAUGCGGGUUCCUCAAUACCCUUGCCUCCUUUUCUUAGUUUAGACAGAAGUUUAUUCAAAAAAAUAAAGAAGAAAAUUCUUUUAGGGUAGUAGUUGGAGUGGUUAUAACAGUUGACCAAGCAAUCCGCAAAUUAAUCAUAUUCUACUCCUCCUUUCUUUAUAAAUAUCAAAAAACUAACGAUAGCGCUGCAUAUGUAGUAAUAGUACAACCAAAUAUGUUUAGCGGAAAGGGGCACCUGCAACCUUUCCCAACGGUUUUGAUCACUUUCAAUCGUGCGUAAUUUUAUUUGCACAACGUAUAAUUUUAUUAUAAAAUUUUGUGAGUUCCACAUAAUGUGAAAAUCGAUGCAUAAUUUGUGAUCUGAAUAGUACAAUUUAUUGAGGCCAAAUCAUGGCUAUUAACAGCUGAUGAGGAUCGCUCCUGCCCCGUCUCAUUAGCUUAGCCUUGGAAGAGUAAUUGAUUGAUCGUUGCACCUGCCAAGCUCUGACCCGGACACCUGUUGGUAAAUCUUUCGUCAUGAGAUGAAAUCAAACAACCAACACAUUGAAUGCGUGCUCAGAAUCCUCAAUUGGGAUAGAGAUUGAAAAAACUGACGGAUCCCAUAAUUAUUGUGACUACGUAUAUUUUUCUUAUGCUGCUACUGAUGCCAUAAAUUGGCUAAUCUCCAUCCUUUUUCUAGCCUUCCUUUCGUUGCAAAGCUCAUCAUUAAUUAGCAUUAUUGUACGUACGUACAUGGAGACAUCUAAGCUAGUAAACCAGCAAUCAUUCAGGUUCAGUGCAGGUGCAGGAGCUGCAUACCAGCAAAGCACCUGGCUGUCCCUCUUGUCCGUUUGUUGCCCGAAUUCUAACGAUCAUUUUUCGACAUCAGAUAUACACCAAAACCCAUUGGCAGUUUGCCAUCCUUAUCCGUCUCAACGUAAAAUAGACCCCUAAACCAACCCCUCUUGACUCGCUCCAUUCUUUAGUUACUGAUUUUACCUUUAACCGGUCCCUUGUACCUUUCGGCCUUCAUUCAUAUGCCACACAGAUUAGGAUGACGCAUGAAGCUACACGUAACUUCUUGCAAGUCUGAUUAAGAUUUUUCUGGGUACCACAAGCCAUGCUGGAUAUCAACUUAUAGCGUCCAAGGCAAAGAGAGGCAGGGAAACAAAGAAAGACCCUCAUCGCCCCACCCCCCAUUCAAGGACCACAUCAAUUUGUGUCCUUCUCCAACAGACUACCCUGUGAAAUUGCAAUUGCAGAAUUUAACAUCAGAUGAGACAUGUCAGUAGGCUAGCCAAAAACUGUCCAUGCACGCGUUCAAUAACCAUUGAUGAACAACAACUAGCUGAUAAUGAUCGUACAAGCACCAACUCGGCCGCACAUGCAACUGUCAAUCAACUUGAAAGAGAUUUUAGAAACAAAUAUCCACGUCCCAAUAAACUGGAACUGGAUUCACCGCCAUACUCAUCACGGCACAGGCUACCAGUUCAAGCUUUUGAAAGAAGGGCAACCAAAACCUUGAGAAAGUAAGAGAGUCAACAGAAGAAAAUGCGAACAUUAUUUCUUCCCUGAACACUACUACACUCUAUUAACACUUGACACGAGACAAGAGACGAGUUGAAAUGGUACGCAAAAAGGAAAAAGAAACGAAAGUGGAGAAGAAUGCAAAGUAGAGACCUGUUUUACAAUUUUAGUCACAAACCUGUUCACUGGGGUGGGUAUAUAUCCCUGUCCUACAAUCAGAAAGGUCCAUCAAGAACUACAGACGACGAAAGCAGAAAAUACAACCAAACUCCAAGCAACCGUGCAUAAACAGAAUGUCUUCCUUAGAAUACAUCACACAAACCUAUAUUAACUAGUUCUUGACCUUGGACUAUCUUAACGUAUUGUUUCUAU
rnacentral:lncRNA from 1 species